CUACGGGGGGCUCCAGUGAGGAAUAUUGCACAAUGGGGGGAACCCUGAUGCAGCAACGCCGCGUGGAGGAUGACGCAUUUCGGUGUGUAAACUCCUUUUAUAUAUCAAGAAAAUGACGGUAGCAUAUGAAUAAGCACCCGCUAACUCCGUGCCAGCAGCCGCGGUAAUACGGAGGGUGCAAGCGUUACUCGGAAUCACUGGGCGUAAAGGACGCGUAGGCGGGUUGGAAAGUCAGGUGUGAAAUCCUACAGCUUAACUGUAGAACUGCACUUGAAACUUCUAAUCUAGAGUAUGGGAGGGGGAGAUGGAAUUAGUGGUGUAGGGGUAAAAUCCGUAGAUAUCACUAGGAAUACCUAAAGCGAAGGCGAUCUCCUGGAACAUUACUGACGCUAAGGCGUGAAAGCGUGGGGAGCAAACAGGAUUAGAUACCCCCGUAGUC
rnacentral:rRNA from 1 species